CAAGAGCGAGCCCGGGACUGCGCGGCCGCCUUCCUGGGGCGUGGGGAGCACAGCGCGGGGCAGCGGGACAGGCGGUUCCGCGCAGCUCCUGGGAUGCCCGGGCAGCUGUGGGUGCGCUCGCCCCAACCCUCCUUCAUAAACGCAGGGCCUGGGGCUGCGCAGACCCCACAGGGCGGCCCAAGGGUGCACAGGGGCCCCAGGUGUGUCUUCACACAGCCCCUCGCUAUUGUCUUCAGCAGGAACCUGCAUUCCACAGCCGGACCGGCCACUUACCAGAACUCGGGGGCGCCCAGGCCUUGCGUGGUGCGCUGGAAGGCCAAAUUUCCACCAGACCAGUGUGUUCCAUGAUGCCCACUGGACCUCCGGCCACCCCACCCCCCAACCAGCCUGUCCUAAGAGCCGACAACCUUUCUCCACAAAGCUGUUCAAAGGGCAGAAGAGCAGUGUCACUGCCUGGAAGGACAAAUCCAGAACAGACACCAGUGCCAGGCGCUGGCCAUCAGGUAGUGUGCUGCCCACACCUCCACUGCCCCCCACAGCAGGAAGGGCUGCCUCAUGGAGAAUAGAAAGGCAAUGAGCCCCUGAAGUGGCGUGGCCAGAACAAGGCACACCCCACUGCCCACGAGUCCUGCCAGGGCACACCCCACUGCCCACGAGUCCCUGCACAGGUGAGAAGUGUGGCUGUUUGGCAGCAUCUCAAUCUGUGAGCAUUUGGAGGAUGAAAUGCGUCUGCACUCCAAGGUUGCUGGAGGGCUCGGGGCAGACGGGCGCUGCCCCAGCCUGUGAUGGGCAUGGCCUUGAGGAUGCCAGCCUCAUGCAGAAGCCAGUCUAGGGGAUUAUACAGGGUGUGCACACCCACUCCCCUACCCUCGGACUGGAGCCACAAAACCCUCCCUCUAACUGGGUCGUGGUUUUAGGCAGGGCCGUGGCACCCCACCACUGCAGGGGCCACCAUCCAUAUCAGGCAGACUGUAUGAACCGUGCCCCUUGGAAUUGUACAGUGCACAACCUGCACAUCCUCAUGGCCAAAAAGACCCAGAGACUUGUGUGUGUGUGUGAGGGGGUCUUGGGAAGUAUCCUGAGAACAUUCCUGUCCUGUGGGUGGUGACGAUCUGAUAACUGCCCGACCACUUCCUGCCUCAGGCAGGCACGCAUAGCAUUCUGGAUCCUUCCACCGUGGCCUGGACCCCUUGUGGUCCAGGGACCCCCUGCACGUAUGGGGAAGGGGCGUGGCUGUAAAACAUUCAAAAAUGUGGAAAUAAUGCAAAAGCCAGUCGGAAAACAACUGUAAUCUUAUACCCAGCUGCCACAGCAUCUGAACUUCAGGAUUAAGAAAAUAAAACUGAAAACACC
rnacentral:lncRNA from 1 species